GGCUUUUAUACAUAGUUUGCUUACAUUAGCCAUGGUAUAUGCAAAUACAGUACAGACUAUAAGAUUUAUUACUUCCUUAUAUUACGUUAUUCUGACAAUGGAAAGAUAAGCUUUUGCAUACGUCUGGAAAAGAAUAUCCUUAAAAUCGGAAUGGGCAAGACAUCCUGAAAUUUUAGCAUUGUCUUACAUCCUAUAGAAGAAAUACCUUAGUCUGUCACAGUCAGCAUAUUGACUUUAAGUAUUCAAUAUCCCUUCAGUCAGCAAUAAUCAUGUUAUAAACCUUAUAAAAGCAUAAAAUACAUAUAAACAAGUUAACUAUUUAAUAUUCUUACAUUCCCCUCUUUGAGCAAUAAAACAAUUGCUCAUCUUAUCGAUAAAAUCUUACCAGGACAGAGAAACUUCCACAUGGUAUUUUCAGGGGUGCUAGUCACUCCCUGCGGGACUUUCAUUAAUUUCUUCACCUCGAUUCCCAUGUGGUAAUUCCUAAGGCCUAGUUUAAAAAUGGGUUGAUACUCUAUAGUGGCAGAGAGGAGAAUUUUUAAUUGUUUCUGUUCUGCAUUAUGGAUUCAUUUCUGUACUCUCUUCCUCAAUGUACAAGUAAGGUGACAGUUAUAUAAAAUCAUACACAAUAAAAUCAGGACUAUAAUAACAAAAUGAUAGAAGAAUGAUUUCAUUAUCUGAGAUCCAGUAGGGGACCAACCAGUAAAGCAUUGUACCAAUCAUGGGCUAAAUCAUUCUGAAUUUGUGAACUCACCUUAAGGAGUUCUCCUUUUAGGAUAUGUGUGGCUACCUGUGUGUGUUAUCUUUGGGGAAAAUAUAGUCCCCUGUGUAUGUGGGUGCCCACCAGGUUAAAUUCUUGGCAAAAAGAUCAUAAACUGGUACUGGUAAUGUGUUAAAUUGACAAGCUAAUUUAACAUCCUUUGAUGAUGUAUGAUAUAAUGUAAAAUAACAUGAGCAUGAAAAAUGUGAAACAUUACCAGUUAACCAUCCAUUGCAUUUACUGGAUUGGGGUUUUAGAAGUAACCAUUCAUUAUCUGUGAGGUUACACAUUCCUCUAAUCUUCUCUAGUUUAGGAAUCAUUAGUGUGUUUUCUAAUGCCAAUCCUUGUUGUUGUAUCCAUAAAUACCUGAUGGCACAAGUACUCCAGUUACCGAGAUCUGUAGUGAAUUUCAUAGUUGCAACAGUUAAAUUAUCUAAAUAAUUAUACAUUGAUUUAUCUAAAUCCAAUCCUAUAACCUGUGAUUUAACAACAAUUGGAGCCCAAUUUGCAGUAGCAUGAAAACCAGUCCCUAUAUGCAUGCUGGCUGUGUUUAACUUAUUCUUGAGGGUCUCCAUAUCUAUAACUAUUUAGUAUACCCAUAGUGGUUCCAGCACCUCCUAACAGUGUGUCAUACCAUUCCCUUUUCUGCCUUUUGUUUGCUGUGUUACAUAAUGUUACAACAGGAGUAGUGAUUUUUAAUGACACAUGUACAGCUUGUAAGAAGACAGUUGUAUUAACACAUGUGGAUGGAAUAGGUGUGUGUGUGUCGUGGUUGACUUUUGGUUCUAUGGUAGUGGAUAAAGGACAGUAAUAAGGUGUAAAAAUAUAAGGUAGUGUAUAGUUCUCAAUUGUAGUGUUGUUCAUAAUGACUAACAUUUGUCCCCUUUUCCAAUUAAUGAUACCAGUUAUAUAAUCAUUAUUAAAAGUAAUAAGGCCUGUCUGUUUACAUUGAUAUGCAACCUUAACUGUGCACAUUUCUGCGUUAUAAGAUCUAACAAUUUUCUGUGAACCUUUAAACAAACAUAAUGCAUCGGUUUCAUUAGCUGUAGACACAUUUCAUAUGGGUAACUGGUACUUAUAAGGGUUACUAUUUGUCCAAUUCAUCCAAAUGCGUUCAGUGAAUGAAUGAUUGCAUAUUACAUGCUGAUAGAAAGGUGGUGGAGAAAGGUUCUUGAGGGGGCGUGUGUGACGAAUGCUAGAUGAGGGGCUAAGGC
rnacentral:lncRNA from 1 species